AAUCACAUGUCAUUCUUCCUAGCCCUGAUUUACAAACUUUACAGAGUGCUACUGACUAUGAACAUUUGCUCCAGUGGUGGGAUUUCAAGUAUUUAGGAAGUUUGAGGGAGAUACAUUUUUUUAAAUAGACAUCUUCCUAAAAAAAAAAAAAAAAGUGCUUUUGAAAUAGUCUGGAUUACCUUCUUCCCUCUCCUCUUUCAUGCCUCCCUAUGAGAAAAUACACCAGAGGGAACAAGCCUGUAUUGGGAGUGGCUUCCUCUUGGUUUUCAGAGGGUGGCUGUGGGGAAGCAGUAACUUGAAAUAGAAGAGUCCAUGGUUAACAUGCUGAGAAACUAAUCCAGAAUGGAUUUGAGAUCACAUUCAGAACAUCCUCUCCUAUAUUGGCUGGCAGACUCAAUGGACUGGAACAAACUCUGCAGUGGACUUAGGUCUUUGAUUCCUUUGAAAAUAGUCAGACUGUUAAAACAUUAAUUAUAAAGAAAGAAAG
ensembl:lncRNA